GGAGGAACCUCUGGAGAGAACCGUUAAAUCGGUCGCCGAAGGAGCAAGUCCUACAUUGUUUCAACAAUGCAGGGUGAAACUCUCAGGCAAAAGGACAGAGGAGUGGAA
rnacentral:ncRNA from 2 species